rnacentral:rRNA from 1 species
UGGGGAAUUUUGCGCAAUGGGGGCAACCCUGACGCAGCGACGCCGCGUGAGUGAGGAAGGCCUUCGGGUCGUAAAGCUCUGUCAAAGGGAAAGAAGUGCAUGGUGGCUAAUACCUGCCAUGUUUGACGGUACCCUUAAAGGAAGCACCGGCUAACUCCGUGCCAGCAGCCGCGGUAAUACGGAGGGUGCAAGCGUUGUUCGGAAUCACUGGGCGUAAAGGGCGCGCAGGCGGUUUGGUAAGUCAGAUGUGAAAGCCCACGGCUUAACCGUGGAAGUGCAUUUGAUACUGCCAGACUUGAGUACCAGAGGGGAAAGUGGAAUUCCCAGUGUAGAGGUGAAAUUCGUAGAUAUCGGGAGGAAUACCGGUGGCGAAGGCGACUUUCUGGCUGAGUACUGACGCUGAGGCGCGAAAGCGUGGGGAGCAAACA